CAAUAGCGUAUAUUAAAGUUGUUGCGGUUAAAAAGCUCGUAGUUGGAGUUCUGCCAGGUGCCGCCUGUCCGCCCCAGUGGUGAGUACGUGGCGCGCAUUUGGCCCUUUCAAGGGGAGCGUAUCUGCACUUUAUUGUGUGGUGCGGGAUCCUUGACUUUUACUUUGAGGAAAUAGGAGUGUUCCAAGCAGGCUCUCGUCGUGCACAGCUCAGCAUGGAAUAAUAGCAUUGGACCUCGAUUCUAAGCUGUUGGUUGCCAGAAGCGAGGUAAUGAUGAAGAGGGAUAGUUGGGGGCAUUCGUAUUUAACUGUCAUAGGUGAAAUUCUUGGAUUUGUUAAAGACGGACUACUGCGAAAGCAUCUGCCAUGGAUGUUUUCAUUGA
rnacentral:rRNA from 1 species